rnacentral:rRNA from 1 species
ACGCUAGCUACAGGCUUACCACAUGCAAGUCGAGGGAACGGCAUUGAGUGCUUUGCACUCUUUGGACGUCGACCGGCGCACGGGUGAGUAACGCGUAUCCAACCUUCCCAUUACUGUGGGAUAACCUGCCGAAAGGCAGACUAAUACCGCAUGGUCUUCGAUGACGGCAUCAGAUUUGAAGUAAAGAUUUAUCGGUAAUGGAUGGGGAUGCGUCUGAUUAGCUUGUUGGCGGGGUAACGGCCCACCAAGGCGACGAUCAGUAGGGGUUCUGAGAGGAAGGUCCCCCACAUUGGAACUGAGACACGGUCCAAACUCCUACGGGAGGCAGCAGUGAGGAAUAUUGGUCAAUGGACGAGAGUCUGAACCAGCCAAGUAGCGUGCAGGAUGACGGCCCUAUGGGUUGUAAACUGCUUUUGUAUGGGGAUAAAGUCAGUCACGUGUGAUUGUUUGCAGGUACGAUACGAAUAAGGACCGGCU